GACGAACGCUGGCGGCGUGCUUAACACAUGCAAGUCGGACGCUGAAGCUCAGCUUUUGUUGGGUGGAUGAGUGGCGAACGGGUGAGUAACACGUGAGUAACCUGCCUCCUUCUUUGGGAUAACGCCCGGAAACGGGUGCUAAUACUGGAUAUUCACUGGUCUUCGCAUGGGGGUUGGUGGAAAGGGUUUUUCUGGUGGGGGAUGGGCUCGCGGCCUAUCAGCUUGUUGGUGGGGUGAUGGCCUACCAAGGCUUUGACGGGUAGCCGGCCUGAGAGGGUGACCGGUCACAUUGGGACGGAGAUACGGCCCAGAAUCCUACGGGAGGCAGCAGUGGGGAAUAUUGCACAAUGGGCGCAAGCCUGAUGCAGCGACGCCGCGUGAGGGAUGGAGGCCUUCGGGUUGUGAACCUCUUUCGCUCAUGGUCAAGCCGCAACAAUGGUUGUGGUGAGGGUAGUGGGUAAAGAAGCGCCGGCUAACUACGUG
rnacentral:rRNA from 1 species